rnacentral:piRNA from 1 species
UUCUAACAGAGAGUGGAUAGAGGG